rnacentral:lncRNA from 1 species
UUUUAUUUUUUUAGACGAAGCCUCGCUCUGUCACCCAGGCUGGAGUGCAGUGACACAAUCUUGGCUCACUGCAACCUCUGCCUCCCAAGCUCAAGCAAUUUCUGGCAAAUUUUUGUAUUUUUAGUAGGGACGGGGUUUCGCCAUGUUGUCCAGGCCGGUCUUGAACGCCUGACAUCAAGCGAUUUGCCCUCAAGUGACCCACCCACCUUGGCCUCCCAAAGUGCUGGAAUUACAGGCAUGAGUCACGGCACACGGCUGACAAACUAUAUUUUGAGAAGGUAAAUACUAGUGAUCAUGAAACACUAAUACUAGUGAUCAUGAAAACAGAGGAGCUGAAACUUCUAGGCACAUUCAGGCUAGGUCACAUCCUAUUUCAGGUGGUAGCUCCACCUUGAAAAGCAGGGGGCUGGAGAUUUUCUUGGUUAAAUUAGAGGCUGCAGACACCCGCAGCUGCUAGAGGCAGAGCUGGGAUUCAGGAAUGGGCUUGCUGACUCCAACAGUGAAGGUCUUCCCCUCCAAGAGACCCCACCCGUGGGGAAGGGUGACCCUCAAAUCUUGGACAUCAGGUCCAACUUUCGGCCCAGUUGACUUUUCCACAAAGGAAGGAUUUCAGGGCUCUGAGAAGUCCCAGAAUAUCUGCCCACAGCAAUCUAGCAUCAUCAGAACCCACCUUCACGUGUAGCCACCGUGUCUCCAUGUUCCUGGUAAUGCACGCUCCCAGGCUCAGAGUCUGGAACUGCUGAUGGAGGGGCGGGUUCUGGGCCCUGCAAAGAACCGAGGCUCCGCAGUCACAGUCUUCGAUUAGACAGAGCCCCUCCAGUUCUCAGACGAUUUCUUAGGCUACCCCGAAAAUAGAGAGAGGAAGGGACCUGCCCUUGAUCACACUGUCAGUAACACAAUCAGAACAGAAAUCUAGGGCUCUUGGCCUUCAAGCCUCUGUUCUUCGCUUAACACACGGCUGGCAGAGAUGGGGAGACCUGAGAGGGCCCUGAGGGUGAGGGCAUUUGCACUGGGUGCAGAGCGCCUUUGGAAGGCAGGGAAGUCCAGGAAGGUAAACACACACACACGUUGUAAAUAUGGCGAAAAUCAGAGAGGAGGAAAUGUCAGGGACUCCUCCAGCACGGAAAACAUCCUGAUAGUUUGGAGCGCCGGGAAGAGUGGGCACCUUGGAAUCUGCAAGGCAUUCUUUUGCGUUUCACCUGCAGUGGGGUGGGGUCUCUGGGGUCUGCCCUCCCUCCUACUCUACAUGCAUUACCCAUCUUAUAGCCGGGCCGUCCCUGCAAAAUUCCAGCUGCAUGGGGGAACCACACUUCUGACUUCAGAAUGAAACCAGUGUUUUGCACACAUUCAUUCCUCAGUCCCCUUGCUGGGACCCUUCUCUGUUAUGAAAGCAGAGAUCCCACCCGAAUAGGGUGACUUUGGGGCGAUGGAUUACCUUUGGCAGGUCCUGUGGGUCAGGAAUUUAGGGGUGCAGCGUGGGCCCACAGCAUACCCAGUAGCCAAGGAAGACCCUCCCCUACCCGAGGCUCAAGCAGGCGCCAGGCCCCAAACCCUCACUCCUCUCUGGUCUAAAUCCCCGCCGUAGGAUUUUAUUUUUCGGUGCUGAGGUGCUUUGCUGGAGGAGCUGCCAGGGGGAGCUGCGCGGGGCAGGCCCGGGGUACCAGAGGCCCUUGCUUUAGCGGCGGCCCUGCGUGUGCCAGAGGCUUGCAGAGUGAUCUGAGCACGCCAAGAGAUUGCUGUCAAUGAAAGCACCAGAUUUCCGCGUAGGAGGGACUCGGGGGCAACGAUGCAAUUGGAAGG